CAGAGUUGCAAAACUCCCACAAACCAUCGCGAAUCUUACCCGUACGGUUGCCUCGGCGCCGGCGGUCCGGAAGGCCCUCGGGCCCCCCGGAUCCUCGGGUCUCCCGCUCGCGGGAGGCUGCCCGCCGGAGUGCCGAAACCAAACUCUUGAUAUUUUAUGUCUCUCUGAGUAAACUUUUAAAUAAGUCA
rnacentral:misc_RNA from 1 species